rnacentral:rRNA from 1 species
AGCGGCGAACGGGUGAGUAACACGUUGGAAUCUGCCCCCAAGUCAGGGAUAGCCCAGGGAAACCUGGAUUAAUACCGGAUAGUCUCUACGGAGUAAAAAUUUAUUGCUUGGGGAGGAUCCUGCGAUCUAUCAGUUAGUUGGUGAGGUAAAAGCUUACCAAGACGAUGACGGAUAGCUGGUCUGAGAGGAUGAUCAGCCACAAUGGGACUGAGACACGGCCCAUACUCCUACGGGAGGCAGCAGUGAGGAAUCUUCCACAAUGGACGCAAGUCUGAUGGAGCGACACCGCGUGAAGGAUGACGGUCUAACGAUUGUAAACUUCUUUUCUGGAGGAGCAAAAUGAGAGUACUUCAGGAAUAAGGGACGGCUAAUCACGUGCCAGCAGCCGCGGUAAUACGUGAGUCCCGAGCGUUACUCGGAAUUACUGGGUGUAAAGGGUUCGUAGGCGGGGAUAUAAGUCAGAUAUGAAAGACCGGAGCUCAACUUCGAGUUUGUAUUUGAAACUAUAUUUCUAGAAUCAGGGAGAGGUAAGCGGAAUUCUUAGUGUAGGGGUGCAAUCCGUAGAUACUAAGAGGAACACCAAAAGCGAAGGCAGCUUACUGGAACUGUAUUGACGCUGAGGGACGAAAGCGUGGGGAGCGAAAGGGAUUAGAUACCCCUGUAGUCCACGCCCUAAACGAUGAUAACUAAGUGUUGCACGUAGGUGCAGUGCUGUAGCAAACGCGUUAAGUUAUCCACCUGAGGAGUACGGUCGCAAGAUUAAAACUCAAAGGAAUAGACGAGGGACCCACACAAGCAGUGGAUCACGUGGUUUAAUUCGACAAUAAGCGGGAAAUCUCACCCAGACUUGACAUCUUAAGAAUCUUUUAGAGAUAAAAGAGUGCCUUUAUUGGAGCUUAGAGACAGGUGCUGCAUGGUCGUCGUCGGCUCGUGCCUUGAGGUGUUCGGUUAAGUCCGUUAACGAGCGCAACCCAUGUCCUUAGUUAUGAUGUCUAAGGAGACUGCCUUGGUUAACAAGGAGGAAGGUGUGGAUGACGUCAGAUCAGCAUGGCUUUUACGUCUGGGGCUACACACAUGAUACAAUGGUAUGUACAAAGAGUAGCAAUAUGGUAACAUUGAGCGAAUCUAUAAAACAUAUCUCAGUCCGGAUUGAGGUCUGAAACUCGACCUCAUGAAGUUGGAAUUGCUAGUAAUCGUAAAUCAGCAUGUUACGGUGAAUGUGUUCCUGGGUCUUGUACUCACCGCCCGUCACGGCAUGGAAGGUAGUAAUAUCGGAAGCUCCUCAGAUAAUAUGGGGGUCCAUGGUAGGACUACUGACUGGGCUGAAGUCGUAACAAGGUAGCC